GGUUCCUGUUGAAGAGUGGCUCCUCCUCAGAUUCCUGAGAUUUUAAGCAUCCAGUAGGUGAAAUUCUCUACCUCUAAGGAGAAACAGCACCUGCUCCUUCACCCAGAGCAAGCCCUCCAUUGCUAUGGAUACCGAAUCCACCUACUCUGGAUAUUCCUACUACUCAAGUCAUUCGAAGAAAUCUCACAGACAAGGGGAGAGGUCUAGAGACAGACACAAAUCACCCCGGAGUAAAGAUGGCAGAGGGUCAGAAAAAUCUGUCACCAUCCAGGCUCCCACCGGAGAGCCCUUGUUGGCAAAUGAUUCUACUCGGACGGAGGAAGUUCAGGAUGACAACUGGGGCGAGACCACCACGGCCAUCACAGGCACCUCUGAGCACAGCAUAUCCCAGGAGGACAUCGCCAGGAUCAGCAAGGACAUGGACGACAGUGUGGGGCUGGACUGCAAACGCUACCUGGGCCUCACCCUCGCUGCCUUCCUGGGACUUCUAGUCUUCCUCACCCCCAUUGCCUUCAUCCUGCUGCCCCCGAUCCUGUGGAGGGACGAGCUGGAGCCUUGCGGCACCAUUUGUGAGGGCCUCUUCAUUUCCGUCUCAUUCAAACUCCUCAUCCUGCUCAUUGGAACCUGGGCACUUUUCUUCCGCAGGCAGAGGGCUGAUGUGCCCCGGAUCUUUGUGUUCCGUGCCCUUCUGUUGGUCCUCAUCUUUCUCUUUGUGGUUUCCUAUUGGCUCUUUUACGGAGUUCGAAUUUUGGACUCUCGGGACCGAAACUACCAGGGCAUUGUGCAGUAUGCCGUCUCGCUGGUGGACGCCCUGCUCUUCAUCCAUUACCUGGCCAUCGUCCUGCUGGAGCUGCGGCAGCUGCAGCCCAUGUUCACGCUGCAGGUGGUCCGCUCCACCGACGGCGAGUCCCGCUUCUACAGCCUGGGACACCUGAGUAUCCAGAGAGCAGCGUUGGUGGUUCUGGAAAAUUAUUAUAAAGAUUUCACCAUCUAUAACCCGAAUCUCCUAACAGCCUCCAAAUUCAGAGCAGCCAAGCACAUGGCCGGGCUGAAGGUCUACAACGUAGACGGCCCCAGUAACAAUGCCACUGGUCAGUCCCGGGCCAUGAUUGCUGCAGCCGCUCGGCGCAGGGACUCCAGCCACAACGAGUUGUACUACGAAGAGGCCGAACACGAACGGCGCGUGAAGAAGCGGAAAGCCAGGCUGGUGGUUGCCGUGGAAGAGGCCUUCAUCCAUAUCCAGCGUCUGCAGGCCGAGGAGCAGCAGAAAGCUCCAGGAGAGGUGAUGGACCCCAGGGAGGCUGCUCAGGCCAUCUUUCCCUCCAUGGCCCGGGCGCUGCAGAAGUACCUGCGCACCACGCGACAGCAGCACUACCACAGCAUGGAGAGCAUCCUGCAGCACCUGGCCUUCUGCAUCACCAACAGCAUGACCCCAAAGGCCUUCCUAGAACGUUACCUCAGCGCAGGCCCCACGCUGCAGUAUGACAAGGAUCGCUGGCUCUCUACGCAAUGGAGACUUGUUAGUGAUGAGGCUGUGACCAACGGAUUACGGGAUGGAAUUGUUUUUGUCCUUAAAUGCUUGGACUUCAGCCUCGUAGUCAAUGUGAAAAAAAUCCCAUUCAUCGUCCUCUCUGAAGAGUUCAUAGACCCCAAAUCUCACAAGUUUGUCCUUCGCUUACAGUCUGAGACAUCAGUUUAAAAGUUCUAUAUUUGUGGCUUUAUAAAAAAAAAGAAGAAAAAUAUAUAAAGAUAUAUAUACAUAUAUAUAUAUACACACACACCAGAGGGGUGUCUUUUUUGUUUUGUUUUUUGUUUUAUUCUUCAUUGCGGACUGAAGCUGGCAGAUGACAGACCAGUAUCCUUUGAACAUCUGCACUUUAUUCGGAAGGAAGCAGGGAUGCCCACCCUGAUUAAGACACCUGACUUUUGCAGGUGAGAUAUCUCAAGAAGCCAGUCCCUGGAGUUUCUGGGACAGCUGUAAACCAAAGUGGAGCUGGCACGUUCUUGGGAGCCUCGCCUUUCGACAGGAAGUCCCUGCUUUCCGUCCAGUUCUCGUCCCCCCACCAUUGCCUCUGGUUGACGCGUAGACUUCAAGGGGACACGUCUUUAUUCUGUUUCAGGAAACCAGACACUCCAUGUCCACCUAUGUAUUUGUGUGUGCAAAUGUGCAGUACCACAUGGCCCACGUGAGUUGUGGGCAGUUCAGGAAAUGCCUGCCUUCAUCUUUGUUCUUUGUUGCCUUAGAUUCUUCGAGAAAUAUCACAACGAAAAAUGUGCACUCUCAGUGUAUAGCUAUUAAGUGAUUUUACUUUGUAUUUUUCCCAAAGAGAAACUACCAUCUCUGUUUCUGAUCCUGUUCCUCUAUGGGCUUAAAGCAGGUAGCUCUUUCCCAACCCUACAAUUGCCCACCCAGUUUCCACUCCUUCCUGCCCUCCCUGGCAUGCAUAUCACGCCCGAGCUGGCUGGCAGCCCUGGCCAGGCAAGCUCAGCCUUUCAGAGCUGACGGCCCCAGCUCUCCAGGUAUGCCCUCAGGCCCUUUGCACAGAUUGUCCCCACAGUGUGGAGUGCCACCAGGUAGAACACAGGGAGAACAUGCCCAGUGACCUCUUAAGCUGCUGCAGGAACCCUGUCUCACCUAUUUCUCCACCCCACUGUCCUGCACCAGCUUGGGGGGAGACAAACACUGUGACUCUUAGGUGAGCAGGCACAGCUUGGAGCCAACCUAAUUUCUGGGAAUGUAAGUUCCCCACAGCACUCAUGCAACUGCCCUGUCAAGAGAGACCAAACAGUGCCAACCACACUGGCCACUCCUGUGUCCAGGCCCUGUGUUUUCUGACCACCAUCACUGUGCAACUCAUCAUCUUACCACUUACUACCAGCUAGGGGCUUGUUUACCUCCUGAUGUGUACAUUACUGCCAGGUGUUGGUCAAGUGGGGCAAAGGAAAUGGACCCUUGGUGGAGUUUAGGGCAGGGAGACUAGGGAUCCAGUCUUCUAGUCCAGAGUGGUUCAUCUGCGGUCUGUUUCAGUGGGCUUUCCCCUGGCCCUGGGAAAGUAAUGCUGCCUGGGCCAUGGGCAGAGGCACCAUCCUGACAGAGCCCUGCUACAGGGAAGCCCUCGGGAGCACAUCUGGACCCUGUGCAGUGCGCUGUCUUUGCCUCUGUUUGCCUUCCUGCAUCUGCAACAAACUUUUAAAACACAUUCACUAUUAUUUUUCAUCUAGGGUAAUGAGUUACUUUGCUUUUGUAAAGGAUGACUCCGUCAAAAUGCUUUUUGUAUUUUGUGCACGUACCCUUACUAUUUGAUGCGUUCUGCGAGUGGUACAGUAUUUCGUGUGUCAUUUUAAAAAUCAAAAUCAGAUAUUUGUAGCAUACCUGUACCUGAAAAAGUAAACAAUGUUGUUGAGUCAACAACCUUCAGCUCAAAAAGAUGUGUUGGAGAAGGAAGGGGACACCUCGGCAAUGGCAUGGAGCCAAGUCGUACUGUGUAACUACGUGGUUCCGUUUAUGAGAAACACCUGCCGUGGCACCAUGGUGCUUUUGUUCUUCGUCUUUGCCUUUCGGUCCCUUCAAACUGGAAGUUCCAUGUCAUUUGUUUCUCAGGAAAUAUUUUGGAAUAUAGGAUAAAGGGUGGUGAAUAUGUGUGAGACCUGGCUGUGUAAAGAUAAUGUCCCAGACUACAUGUGUCCGAAGCGGCUGGAUCACGAAUAUGGUACGAUUGAAAGUGCCAUGCGUGUAUACACCUACAGGUGGCAAUGACCGUUCACCAGCAUCCUAAACACUACGCUUCCAAGCCUGUCUUAGAUGACCAGUCCAGACGGGGUUAAGUCCGAUUCAUUUGCUUUGGCAUGUACCUUCCCAGCGGUGUGAAGAAAGGUUUAAAUUAAGGAAUUUAUUUUCUCUCUCCCUCUCCCAAUCUGCAUAGGAGAAUGUCAGACUUUCAGAAAUGAUUGUUUCUGUUUUAAAUUGAGGAUCGAUUUUUUUUUUUUACACUGACUUUGUAUUGUGUCCUUUUGAAAAGAAUAACAAAAUAAAAUGCAGGAUCUUUGUGUAAAGCCUUUGCACUUUUAACCUCUUAAUAGCUUGAGUGACUGGUGCAGUGGGAACAAUGGAAAUGGCAUGAAAACUGUUUAAGAUUUCAGAGAGCUGCAUCAUAUUGAACACAGUGCAUUUCAGUUAUGGAGCCAGUAGGCAAUUCUUUCUAAAAAGGGGAUAGAGCUGUGCCCUAAGGCUAGUAGAGUAUAUGUUCAUAUUAGAGAAUAUAGGAUUUUAUAUGCCUUAAAUGUUUAUAGAUUUUCUAUAACUUUCAACCUAAGUUAUUAAAAUUUGAACGUUAACUGUUAAAAGGAAAGGACUUAAUGAGUAUAUGUCUGAGAUUGCUCUUUCCUGGUGAACUUUUUACCCAGUAGAUAACUAUGGUUCUUACAUGGAUACUUUUGAAGACAGGACUUUUUUCUUUUUUUUAAAUAUACCAGGGACUGAAUAUUAAAAUAGAAAAGUCUGCAUUCUUAGAAAUGGAAGGGAUUUAAAGUUAUGUAGUUCACCUGUCAUUUGCAUUAUCAGUGAAGUCAAAAUGUAUACUAUUUUGGGAACCAGCAGUUAGCGUAAUGGCUAUGUCGCUGGACUCCCACGUAGUCGACCGUGG